AGUGAACGCUGGCGGUAGGCCUAACACAUGCGAGGCGAACGGCAGCACAGGAAGAGCUUGCUCGGACGGGGGGCGAGGGGCGGACGGGGGAGGAAGACAGCGGAAGCUACUGGUUCGGGGGGGAUAACGUAGGGAAACUUACGCUAAUACCGCAUACGACCUACGGGUGAAAGCAGGGGAUCUUCGGACCUUGCGCGAUUGAAUGAGCCGAUGUCGGAUUAGCUAGUUGGCGGGGUAAAGGCCCACCAAGGCGACGAUCCGUAGCUGGUCUGAGAGGAUGAUCAGCCACACUGGAACUGAGACACGGUCCAGACUCCUACGGGAGGCAGCAGUGGGGAAUAUUGGACAAUGGGCGCAAGCCUGAUCCAGCCAUACCGCGUGGGUGAAGAAGGCCUUCGGGUUGUAAAGCCCUUUUGUUGGGAAAGAAAAGCAGCAGGUUAAUACCCCGCUGUUCUGACGGUACCCAAAGAAUAAGCACCGGCUAACUUCGUG
rnacentral:rRNA from 1 species